rnacentral:snoRNA from 1 species
UCCAGAGGAAGAGAGCAGGUCACUCCUGACUGUUCAUCCUUGGCCAGAGCUGCCACGGUUGAACCUACUGGGCUGGUGGAGGGAGAGGAGGAGAAUGUUCCCAAAGGAACCGUCUGAUGGGA